GGCACCCGGGAGCAAGAACCAGUCGGCCAGCGCUGCUUUGGGGAAGUACCCAGGGCAGGUGUGCACGGGAAGGUGGCGGGGUCCCGGACUAACCCCCAGCUGGUGCCCCGGACAGGCACAGAUGUGACAAAAACACCGUGAAAGGAGUGUGGGAAGUAUGUGUGCAGAUGAGUGCACAAGGCUCAGCCCUCGCUUCUGUAGGGAACAUCUUUCCUGGCUCAUGCAAUUUCUAUAGAGUGUGCUGUAUCAGAAUAUCAGGGCGGAGAGCCUGCAAAGAUCACAUCUUGCAGCAGAUGACCAACCAAAGACCACUGAGGGUCACCUGGAUUGCCUGUGAUCGCCGAAUAGAGUAGCAGUUCCGGAACUAGAGCCCACAUCUGCUUUGCCCAGCGGUCAGUUGUUCUCUGAGGCACCAUCUGAAGAUGUGUUUUGCAUGCAGAUGGCUCAGCUGCAUAAAAGAGACUUGGCCCUGUGACUUUCUUUGGCUGACUGGCUGUUAGCAGGCAUGAUAGAAACAGAGGUUUAAAUGUACUCCAUUGGGGAGCCUGGGUGGCUCAGGUGGUUAAGCGACUGCCUUCGGCUCAGG